rnacentral:rRNA from 1 species
GAUGAACGCUGGCGGCGUGCUUAACACAUGCAAGUCGAACGGGAAAUAUUUCAUUGAGACUUCGGUGGAUUUGAUCUAUUUCUAGUGGCGGACGGGUGAGUAACGCGUGGGUAACCUGCCUUAUACAGGGGGAUAACAGUCAGAAAUGGCUGCUAAUACCGCAUAAGCGCACAGAGCUGCAUGGCUCAGUGUGAAAAACUCCGGUGGUAUAAGAUGGACCCGCGUUGGAUUAGCUGGUUGGUGAGGUAACGGCCUACCAAGGCGACGAUCCAUAGCCGGCCUGAGAGGGUGAACGGCCACAUUGGGACUGAGGCACGGCCCAGACUCCUACGGGAGGCAGCAGUGGGGAAUAUUGCACAAUGGGGGAAACCCUGAUGCAGCGACGCCGCGUGAAGGAAGAAGUAUCUCGGUAUGUAAACUUCUAUCAGCAGGGAAGAUAG